rnacentral:rRNA from 1 species
GACGAACGCUGGCGGCGUGCCUAAUACAUGCAAAUAGAACGCUGAAGGAGGAGCUUGCUUCUCCGGAUGAGUUGCGAACGGGUGAGUAACGCGUAGGUAACCUGCCUGGUAGCGGGGGAUAACUAAUGGAAACGAUAGCUAAUACCGCAUAAGAGUAGAUGUUGCAUGACAUUUGCUUAAAAGGUGCAAUUGCAUCACUACCAGAUGGACCUGCGUUGUAUUAGCUAGUUGGUGGGGUAACGGCUCACCAAGGCGACGAUACAUAGCCGACCUGAGAGGGUGAUCGGCCACACUGGGACUGAGACACGGCCCAGACUCCUACGGGAGGCAGCAGUAGGGAAUCUUCGGCAAUGGACGGAAGUCUGACCGAGCAACGCCGCGUGAGUGAAGAAGGUUUUCGGAUCGUAAAGCUCUGUUGUAAGAGAAGAACGAGUGUGAGAGUGGAAAGUUCACACUGUGACGGUAUCUUACCAGAAAGGGACGGCUAACUACGUGCCAGCAGCCGCGGUAAUACGUAGGUCCCGAGCGUUGUCCGGAUUUAUUGGGCGUAAAGCGAGCGCAGGCGGUUAGAUAAGUCUGAAGUUAAAGGCUGUGGCUUAACCAUAGUACGCUUUGGAAACUGUUUAACUUGAGUGCAAGAGGGGAGAGUGGAAUUCCAUGUGUAGCGGUGAAAUGCGUAGAUAUAUGGAGGAACACCGGUGGCGAAAGCGGCUCUCUGGCUUGUAACUGACGCUGAGGCUCGAAAGCGUGGGGAGCAAACAGG